rnacentral:lncRNA from 1 species
AGGUCAAGUUGACUCCUGGACCGCUCUCAAUGCCAGGGGCACUACUGGUGGUAUUCUCUUGAGUUGAAACUCUACAAGAUUUAUCCCUGUUAAAAUUGUGUCUCUCUCCCUCUCUGCCACCUCCCUAUGGCUUGAUCAGAUUUUAAACAAAAGGUGGUGCUUUACUGUGGGGUAUGGCCCCACUGAUUUAAAUCUCAGGACAAUUUUUUGGAAGGAGCUUUAUGAUGUUCAUGCUAAGUUCUCCGACUCAUGGCUCAUUAGA